UACGGGGGGGGCAAGCGUUGUUCGGAAUUACUGGGCGUAAAGGGCUCGUAGGCGGCCAACUAAGUCAGACGUGAAAUCCCUCGGCUUAACCGGGGAACUGCAUCUGAUACUGGAUGGCUUGAGUUCGGGAGAGGGAUGCGGAAUUCCAGGUGCAGCGGUGAAAUGCGUAGAUAUCUGGAGGAACACCGGUGGCGAAGGCGGCAUCCUGGACCGACACUGACGCUGAGGUGCGAAAGCGUGGGGAGCAAACAGG
rnacentral:rRNA from 1 species